rnacentral:sRNA from 1 species
AGUCGCUCUGCCAGACAGGAGCAGAGAACUCUUAUCUUUGCUUAAGAACGUCUGCUCUUAAAGAAGAUUUAAAAGCAAAUACAUUUCUUUUAUUAAACUGGCAAAGCGAACUGUUGCUCUCAGUAAGAAAAGAUAGACUGCAUCGUUUAAUUCCAAUGUUUAUAUCUGCUUAGACUUUUGGUCUAACAAUGUUCACACGUCAUGGCAGCUCAAAAUACACCCCCGCUUCCUGCCAAACGUAACCCGAAGGAGCAACCAAUGACAUCCUUGUUCGCUAGUCACGUGGACAAUCCAUCCAAUGACCUAAUUUUAAGAAUGCAACAGCAAAUGUUUGACUUCUAUUCGAGUUUCUCGAAGACUAAGAAAAUCUCCUCAAACUCUGACCUCUCUGUGCGUAAUCCAGAUCAAGAUAUAGAUCUGCUGCUCUUAGGCAAAACCGGAAAUGGAAAAAGCGCUCUGUGAAACUCUAUCUUAAGAAUGGAUGUCUUUGAGAACAAACCAUCAAUGGCGUCUGUGACAGUGGAUGUGACCUAUGAUGUAGACGAGUGUAACGGAGUUAAGAUUAAAGUCGUGGACGGACCUGGAGUU